CCUCCAGCACCAGGGCGUGCUUUCCUCUUGAUCAUUCUCGCCCAGCCUCUUUUCCUCUCUCUCCUGGGCCACACACAGGAACCAGGGAAGAGUCUGGGCCCCAGGAGGCAGCAGCUGUGGCCUCUCCAGGGGGCCCCCUCUGGUGAGCAGGUUUCCAUGGCAACGCCACCCUGCCCCAGGGGCCGCUGGGUUCCAGGAAGGGGCCCUGCCCAGCCUCCAAAGGGGCAACCCCACCCUGCCCCUGCUUUCACUCCUUCCCUUGCUCACCAAACAUUGAUUUUGUGCCUACUGUUAGCAAGGCUCUCAGGAUCUAGUGAUGAACAAGGCCAAUGAGGUCCCUGUUCGCAGGGAGCUUAUCCUCUGUGGUGGAGACAAGCAAGCAAGCAAGAUGGCUUCAGAAACCAGUAAGUGAUAUGAACAGAGUAAAGCUGUGCAGAGGGACAGAGAGAGGGGGGGGUGCUGUUUUAAGCAGUGGACACACGGAAGGCCUCUGUGGGGAGGUGAUAUUGGAGUUCAAAGGCCUGAGGCAGGAGUGGGCUUUGGAGGGUGUGAGGAGAAGCUGGAAGACCAGUGUGGCAGUGUGUGUGUGUGUAUGUGUGUGUGUGUGUGUAAACAGGCCAGAAUAUCAGAAAGGGCCCAAAAUGGGUAGGGCCUUGGCCAUCAUAAGAACUCCAUAUUUAUUCCAAGUGUGUUAAGAAGCUAUUGAAGGACUUUAAACAGGUGACCCAGAUGGCACUGGCUCAGAAGGGGUGGCCUCCUAGGGGACUUACAUUCACUGGACCCACUAACUACUCUUCAGCUACCUGUGGAUAUUUACAGAGUCCCACAGGCUGGACACUGCCGCACAGUCUGCCUGGCCAGACACAACUCUGUCUUCACGAAAGGCUGGAGUUUAAUACAGGACUCAGCUACAAACAAUCACUCAAAUAGAGACAGAAUGACCCAGAGUGCCAUGGGAGAGAGCAAAAGGAGGUCCGACGAAAUCUGCGAGUCAGGAAUCUUCUUGGAGGAAGUUCCAUUAAAUUGUCAGCUAAUCACGAGCAGUCAUGAACCAGGUAAAGAGGGAGGAAGAGUGUUCCUGGCAGGAAGCACAGCAUGUGCAAAGCUCCAAGGCAGGUGAAAGAAGGGUGCUUUCAAGAAACUGACAAGUAGCCGAGAGCAAGACCCACAUUCAUUCAGAUUUCAUUUUAAGAUGUUUAUGGAGACUGUCCUGUGGAGUGCUGAGAUGCCAGGGGGCAGAUGGUCAUACACGCCUGACCUCUGCACUCAGUGCUGCGUUGAGUCUGGACUUCCCUCACUAGUUGGUUGGGAACCUUUCACGUUUUUCAGUAGAGUAUGGAAAAGCAAAGCAACUCUGAGCAGCUCUAUCUGGUGCUGCUAAAUACAGACUUAGAGGAACCAGAGGCCAUGGAGUUGGGGGACUAUGUUACUUAUCCAAAUCUGGACACUUAUGAACUUGAAAAGCAGCAUUAUUAAUAAUUUUGCCAGGACCACAUGUGUAAACCAGGGUUGUCCCAGAGACUCCAGGGUCUUCCUCUGUAGGCCACUACAAUAGUUGGAUUAAAUUUUAGAGGCCCCAGAUUGGACAGAUGCAAUGAGAAAUCAGGGAGGCCUGGAUGAGGAGUAACUGCACCCUCGCCAGCCAAUCCCUUGUCUCUUCUUCAUCAGCUGGGGUCUCUAGCACAGCCUGCCACAGGUAAACCCAAAGUGACACUAAGAAUGUUCCCCUGGAAUGUGCCAUCCACCUUCACCAACACCAGCACCAUAACCAUGCCCUGCCUAAGACCACACAGCUGGUGUGCUGCUGAGCCAGGAUUUGGAUCUGGCUGGAACCAAACCACUAACCUGUACCGUCAUGUCCACAGUCCUUCACACAUACGUGAAUACCGAGCUGUGCCUAACGUGAGACAAAACACACAGCGGGAGCUCAAUAAGGAAAACUCAGUAAAUAAAAUUCUAAAGCGGGCCGAGAGACUAAUUAAGGGGUCACUAUUUGUGAUGGACAAGAAUUAAGAAGUAACUCUUUCCAAGGAUACACCAGUGACAUUUCUUCACAGAUCCUAAACUUACCAAAAAUCUCUUGAGAUGAAAGAAAAGUAAACCUAAGGUGUUCAGUGCCAUCUCCUGUUGAAGAAAGAUUCCAUGUAAAAGCAGAUGUCAGCUCUGAAAAUAUGCUCGAGAACAUCGGAGCUGGUGUACCUUCCUGCACAUCCACAUUCUACAAAUUUUCAUUUCCUCUGGACUUUUGGGGAGAGCAAAACUGCUACUAUCUACAUCAGCAAACAUUUCUAUUAUUGCAAUAUUGUUAAAAUGCAUAAAAAUCUGAAUUAUUGGGGCCAACCCUACUUGCUCAGCACAACUCCUUCUUGACAUCAUGUCUUUUUCUAAUUUCAGGGGAAAUUUUUUGUUUUGUUUUGUUUUGAACUCUUCCAGGUGUCUUCUCACCUGCUCUGUUGGGGGAAUGUGGAUUCCCCCGAAACCAUAGGAAUCAGGCACUCCUGGCUUCAGGACCCGAACAGACUUCAACCUAGCCUGAACUUUUGAGAUAAAUCGCCACCAUAUCAUUCUUUUAGGCAAAAUGCUUUUUUCUCUCAUGUGUUCACGUGUCACAGAAGUCACAUUUUGAAAUAUUGAAAAGGCAAACAUAUUUGUCCCACAGUGCCACCCCUCUAACCCAGAGAGGAUUUCCCUUUAUCUGUCUUGCUCAGCAGUCUCACAUGCACCCAGUCUCAUAUUCACCCUGUGUGUCACUGUAACCCAGCAAACAUGCCAUUUCUCUUUCCUCUUGACAUUCCACCGACUAGAUCUCUCCGGCUAAUUCAGUCUUCAUGUCCGUCACUGUGGGAUAGAUGCCCAGUCUUCCACCAAAUUCCUAUUUUCAGUUCCUAUUUUCAGUAAUGCUUUAAUGAACAACCCGGGCACAGUGUGUUUCUUUUUUCUUUUCUGUUCUUUCUCUUAUUUGAGUCAUUUCCCAAGAAUCAGCCAGGAGAAGGAAAGUAAGCAGGUGGGUCUAGUGACCAGCUACAGACACAUGGUCUGAAUUCUAGUCUUGUCACUUCCUAGUGGAAUGACUUGAGGCAAAGGAACAUCUCUAAACCUCAGCAGCCCUUAAUGCACAGCAAGGAUGUUGAUAAUUACUCUCUAUCUUGUCAACUGUGAGAUUAAACAGAACAAAUACAGAGCGAGCACUUUGCCUAGUUCCUGGAACAAAGCAAAUUCUAGGUACACGGAACCCUGUAAUAAUUCCCAGGUACACAUUUAUACCUGAGGAACGUAUUUCUUCUUUCCUUCUAGUGGCAGCAUAGUAGUUAAAAGCAUGGACUGGGCAGCCAAACUUCUGGGUUCAUGUCUGACUUCCUCCCUCUGUGACUUUGUGUAAGCAACAGUUUCCUCAUCUGCAAAAUGCAGGUGGGAUCAGCAACACCUCCUGGAGUUUGUGUGAGAAGGAAAUGAACAGGGCAUGUGAAGAACGUAGCUUCCUGAUCUUUACCUCACAGCCACCCCUGAGGAUCCCCCUUUAGUCCCUUCUUGUUAUUUUUCCUGUUUGAUUUUGGAUCUCUCAGUGCAGUGAAAAGAACAUGGCCUUGGAGGCCAGAAAAACACUAAUUCUAAUCUUCCCCUCCACCAGGCUAAGUAAGCCCUGCCACCCUAAGAAAAUUACUUAACCUCACAGGCCCCAAUUUCCUUCCUAUUAAAAGCCAUAAUAACCCUGCCAGGUUAUUAUGAGGAUUAGAAGGAAUCAUAUAAGCUCCUUAAGAACAGAUUGUACCUCACUCACCUGCUAUUCCCCACACUUAGGACCGAGCGUGGCACAGAGCAGCAGAUCAAUAAGGAGAGCAGGAAAAGACCGAACGGGAGGGAAAGAAAUGAACUGAUGGCAUCGACCUCCUGCCAGGCACACAGUAGGAGCUCAAAAGAGGGCCAUUUCAUCCAUAGUUCGUUUUCCCAGUGCCUGUUCCCAUGGGGCCUUGAGCCGGCCUUCCUAGAAGGCAGGCAAAGAGAUGCAGCACCUUUGUGAUAUUAAAGAUGGAUUGACUUAUAAGUUAAGAAAAUAUCCAUCAGGCACCGAUUACAUGCCAGACACCCUCGCAGAUGCACUGGGCUCAGUACAGAUGACAAAGACAAGGAGAGAACUUGAAAAACAAGGGGAGAAGUUUCAAGUAAACACAUCAAAUGAGAAGGAGAAGAUGCCUGCAUGGGUAAGUGGGUGUUAGGCAAAAGUAGAACAGUUGGAACUCUGUUGAGGGGACACCACCAGUCCCUUCCUUAUGACUGUGUGCUUUUAAUUGAUGUGCACAGCCAGAUUUAAACAAGGCAGCAUCAACUUUGGUGUCGUAACAAACCUCAGUUUGGAAACUCACUGUGUGAACCAAUAUAAGUGACCAAACUGCUCUGAGCCUCAGUUUCAGCAGGUGUAAAAUGGGAAUGAAUGAUUAUGCCAAGUCACGGGUUUAUGAGGUAUAAUCUUAAAGACUGAACACAGUUUAAAAAUAAACUAUAUAAAAUUUUAUUUUCUUCUGUGUUGUUCUCCUGUGUGUGUGGUGGAGGGAUCUUGGAAGCCACCAGAGGAGAAGCAAGUGGUACUGAAAGCACCUUCUAUUUAUUAAUAAGCUUUUCAACAUGCCAAGUCCUGUGCUGGUCCCUUUCAGAAUCACUUCAUUGAAUCUUCACAAUCCCCCAUAAGGUGGGUCCUUGAAUAGCCCCACUUAACUGAGAAGCAAACUGAGGCUCAGAGAGGUUGUAUAAUUUGCUGCACUUGAACAUCCACUCCAGGGCAAAGCCAAUCUCACCAAGCUGCCAAAUGACAGAGCCGGCACCAUUAACGAUUCUCUGUGAUUUCACACUAUAACAUGCUGUGCAAAUGGAAGAUUCUUUUAUUUUAACAGCAACAUUUUCAUGUGGAACCUAUUCCAAGGGAUAUCUUGUCUAAAUAAAUAGGGAUGAAUCCCUAGAUGACGUAAGAUGUCAAAUUUGCCAAGGCAGCUGGCAGGCAGGGAGACACCAGCCCAGCAGUGGUGCCGGUUUGAAUUCAGAAGCUCUAAGAAAGAUUUGAGAUGAAAGGCACACAUGGCACCAAGACUCGUCCCCAGGAAGUUGCACUGAGGUCCCUCAGUCAGUUGCCUGCUCCAAAGUGACAUCGUAGUGCCUGCGGCAGCCAGUUGCCCACAGGCACCUAUGAUAGUAUACUCCAAAGAACCUCAGCAUGAGCUGAACACAGCGUCAAACACUCCCCUGAACACUGCGUACCAAGGACGUGAGUGAGAACGUACACACCUAAGGGCUUCCUUCUAGCUUCAGGUUUCAGGAGUGAAGAGACACCUGGCUUUGGAAUCACCGCAAUCCCUAUUCAAAUCCUGAGUUGACACCAAGGGUUUGGACUGGACAUGUUAGCUAGGCUCCCUGAAUCUCAAUUUUCACAUCUGUAAAAUGGGAAUCAUAGUAGCAUAGGUUCAACAGGACAAUUGAAUGAGUUUAUGUGCAUAAGUCUUGGUCAGUACAGUGCCUGGAAAAAAAAAAAGUUUUAUUAACAUGCUACCCAAUUUCAAAAAGGGAUUCACUAGGACAAAAAAGAAACUAAUAAUUUUGAAAAUAACUCAAGCCACUCUACCAAAACGACUGUCAAUUACCAAAAUGACUUCAGUACAGUUUCCUUCUUGACUCCCAUCCUCCCAUUCCUCUCUGUGCCUGCCUCCUCUCUCCCUCCCUCCUUCCUUCCAUGCUUCCCUCCCUUGCCUCCUCCUCUCAUUCAUUUCUUCUCCGAAAAUAUCUCUGUAACCCUAGAUAUUGAUAUUCAAUUGUAUAGCGUCAGUAUUUUCAUUUCUUUUCUGGAAAUCCCUCUCAAAAAAAAAAAAACAACACUGAACACAGGAUCCAUAGGGAAUCCUCUUUUAGGUUCUUGGACCCCUGUGAAAGGUCCAUGACUGCAGGCGCUGUGCAUGGUGCUCAGAGCUCAGGGCCCAGGCCACAGCCCUCCCCACCCCCUGCACCCUCUGGGCCAAAGCUGAGAAUGCCCAGCAGCCUGGGCACCCAGAGGAACCCCCAACAAAGCAGAGAAAUCAUUCAUUCUCCUAAUCACAUCAAAGUUUUCAAACUUUAAAACCGAGCCUUGAUUACAAGAAAAACUGUUUUUCUUUUUUUUGUUUUCUAAAAAGCCUGGCAAUUCUGAAAAGGUCUCCUCCCCAGACCACAGCAACCUCACAAACUCUGCCUACCCAGUUGAAAGUAAAAAAUAGUUCAUGGAGAAGUCCCUCUCACAACAACUGCUCAAUGCUUUAGAAAUCUCUCUGAUGCUUAAAACCUUUAAUGUUAUAACUGAAGGUUCCAAGCCCUCUGGAAUCUUUCUUCCUUGUAAACUCUCAGCACUUUCUCAGUCAGACAUCUUUAUUUUCUAUGUUGUCAAAGACUCUUUACCAAGAAACUACUUUGGGUUUCAAAAGGGAGUCGUCUUAUAAAAGAAAUAAAACUCCUAAAAACAGAAAAUUCGGCCCAUCUAGCAGUCAUAUAAGGACGCAUGAAUUCAUUGAUUUUCUUUUUGGUAGAGCAAAGAAUUUUUUGCAGGCACCCUGACUCUUCCCUGACCCUAGAUUGUCACCAACAGUGGAAUCAAACACCACAAAGAAAACUUGGGAAAAAGGUUAAGUACUCCAUCAGUUCUAUCAUAAAUACGUUUGAGUUUAUGCCAUGGGCCCAUUUCUGGAACUUUAUAAAAUCCUAAUAACUUCAAUGGAAAGUUGGC
rnacentral:lncRNA from 1 species